rnacentral:rRNA from 1 species
GAUGGACGCUGGCGGUAUGCUUAACACAUGCAAGUCGAACGGACUCUUCGGAGUUAGUGGCGGACGGGUGAGUAACGCGUGAGAAUCUGGCUUUGGGUUCGGGACAACCACUGGAAACGGUGGCUAAUACCGGAUGUGCCGAGAGGUAAAAGAGAAAUUGCCUGAAGAUGAGCUCGCGUCUGAUUAGCUAGUUGGUGAGGUAAAGGCUCACCAAGGCAGCGAUCAGUAGCUGGUCUGAGAGGAUGACCAGCCACACGGGGACUGAGACACGGCCCAGACUCCUACGGGAGGCAGCAGUGGGGAAUUUUCCGCAAUGGGCGAAAGCCUGACGGAGCAAUACCGCGUGAGGGAAGAAGGCUCUUGGGGUGUAAACCUCUUUUCUUAGGGAAGAACAAAAUGACGGUACCUAAGGAAUCAGCAUCGGCUAACUCCGUG